rnacentral:rRNA from 1 species
AUUGAACGCUGGCGGCAGGCCUAACACAUGCAAGUCGAGCGGUAGCACAGAGAGCUUGCUCUCGGGUGACGAGCGGCGGACGGGUGAGUAAUGUCUGGGAAACUGCCUGAUGGAGGGGGAUAACUACUGGAAACGGUAGCUAAUACCGCAUAACGUCGCAAGACCAAAGAGGGGGACCUUCGGGCCUCUUGCCAUCAGAUGUGCCCAGAUGGGAUUAGCUAGUAGGUGGGGUAACGGCUCACCUAGGCGGAGAUCCCUAGCUGGUCUGAGAGGAGGAACAGCCACCCUGGAACUGAGACAAGGUCCAGACUCCGACGGGAGGCAGCAGUGGGGAAUAUUGCACAAUGGGCGCAAGCCUGAUGCAGCCAUGCCGCGUGUAGGAAGAAGGCCUUCGGGUUGUAAAGUACUUUCAGCGGGGAGGAAGGUGUUGUGGUUAAUAACCACAGCAAUUGACGUUACCCGCAGAAGAAGCACCGGCUAACUCCGUGCCAGCAGCCGCGGUAAGAC